rnacentral:rRNA from 1 species
CAGCCGCCGCGGUAAUACGGAGGGGGCUAGCGUUGUUCGGAAUUACUGGGCGUAAAGCGCACGUAGGCGGCUUGGUAAGUUAGAGGUGAAAGCCCGGAGCUCAACUCCGGAAUUGCCCUUAAGACUGCCGAGCUAGUAGGUGAGAGAGGUAAGUGGAAUUCCGAGUGUAGAGGUGAAAUUCGUAGAUAUUCGGAAGAACACCAGCGGCGAAGGCGGCUUACUGGCUCAUUCUAGACGCUGAGGUGCGAAAGCGUGGGGAGCAAACAGGAUUAGAUACCCCAGUAGUCCCUGUCUCUUAUAC